rnacentral:rRNA from 1 species
AGCAUGCGGAUUAAUUCGAUGCAACGCGAAGAACCUUACCAAGGCUUGACAUACACCGGUAACGCCCAGAGAUGGGUGCCCCCUUUGGUGGUCGGUGUACAGGUGGUGCAUGGUUGUCGUCAGCUCGUGUCGUGAGAUGUUGGGGUUAAGUCCCGCAACGAGCGCAACCCUCGUCCUAUGUUGCCAGCGGGUCAUGCCGGGGACUCAUGGGAGACUGCCGGGGUCAACUCGGAGGAAGGUGGGGAUGACGUCAAAUCAUCAUGCCCCUUAUGUCCUUGGGCUUCACGCAUGCUACAAUGGCCGGUACAAAGGGCUGCGAUACCGCGAGGUGGAGCGAAUCCCAGAAAGCCGGUCUCAGUUCGGAUUGCAGGCUGCAACCCGCCUGCAUGAAGUCGGAGUUGCUAGUAAACGCGCAUCAGCCAUGGCGCGUUGAAUACGUUCCCGGGCCUU